CUACGGGGUGCUGCAGUGGGGAAUAUUGCACAAUGGGCGAAAGCCUGAUGCAGCAACGCCGCGUGAGGGACGACGGCCUUCGGGUUGUAAACCUCUUUUAGCAGGGAAGAAGCGAAAGUGACGGUACCUGCAGAAAAAGCACCGGCUAACUACGUGCCAGCAGCCGCGGUGAAUACGUAGGGUGCAAGCGUUGUCCGGAAUUAUUGGGCGUAAAGAGCUCGUAGGCGGUUUGUCGCGUCUGCUGUGAAAAUCCGAGGCUCAACCUCGGACCUGCAGUGGGUACGGGCAAACUAGAGUGCGGUAGGGGAGAUUGGAAUUCCUGGUGUAGCGGUGGAAUGCGCAGAUAUCAGGAGGAACACCAAUGGCGAAGGCAGAUCUCUGGGCCGUAACUGACGCUGAGGAGCGAAAGCGUGGGGAGCGAACAGGAUUAGAUACCCCAGUAGUC
rnacentral:rRNA from 1 species